AUGAAGGAUCAUAUUAAGAGGUACUUUGCGAAUCUGUUUACCUCAGAAGUAACCCAACCGAACCAGGACGUUCUUUCGCUUAUCCCAAGGAAAAUAACGGAAGAAAUGAAUAAUGCUCUUCUUGCCCCUUAUACAAAUGACGAAGUUCGAAAAGCCCUAUUCGAGAUUGGGGAUUUAAAAGCGCCAGGUCCCGAUGGCCUUCAUGCUAUUUUUUAUAAAAGAUUCUGGCCUAUGUUGGGAGAUGAUCUGAUUGAAGAGGUUCUCAAGGCGGUGAAUACUUGCUCCAUUCCAGAGGGAUGGAAUGACACUGCGAUUGUAAUUAUCCCAAAGGUUAAUGCUUCGGAAAAGGUAACUCAAUUUAGACCAAUUAGCUUGUGCAACGUGGUGUAUAAGGUAAUUUCAAAGAUGAUUGCUUCCCGUUUGAAGAUAAUCCUAACAAAUAUUAUCAUCCCAACUCAAAGCACUUUUGUGCCUGGAAGAAUGAUUACAGAUAAUAUAUUAGUGGCUUACGAGUGUUUUCAUACAAUAAAGAAAAAGAGGGUUGGUAAAGAGGGUCUAUGUGCCAUCAAAUUAGAAAUGCAAAAGGCAUACGAUAAAGUGGAAUGGGUCUUUUUAAAGGAGAUUAUGUUAAAAUUGGGAUUUGAUAAGAAAUGGGUGAAUUUAAUUAUGCAAUGUGUUUCUUCUAUGGAGUAUCGAGUUCGUUUCAAUGCCGAGGAAACUGAGAGUUUUAAACCCACUAGAGGAUUGAGGCAGGGAGACCCCCUCUCUCCCUACUUAUUCUUAUUAUGCACGGAGGGUCUUACUGCCCUUUUAGCGAAAGCAGAGGAGAAUGGAAGUAUUUCAGGCAUAAAGGUAUGCAGAGAUGCUCCACCGAUUUCCAAUCUUCUCUUUGCGGAUGACUCUUUGAUACUUAUACGAGCAAAUGCUAUGAAUGCGGAGGCGUUAAAAUCAGUUUUGGAUUCUUACUGUGCCGCCUCAGGACAGAUGGUGGGUGUUGAAAAAUCUAGCAUAUUUUUUAGUCCAAACACAAAAGUAGAAGAAAAGGCACAAAUUUGUACAAUUCUGAAUAUUAUGACUGAAGCCCUAAAUGAUAAAUAUUUGGGUUUACCUGCCAAUGUGGGCAUGGAUAAAAGUGAUUGUUUUCAAUUCAUGAUUGACCGAGUUAUUAUGAGAAUUAAUGGAUGGAAGGAAAAAUUGUUAUCAUCUGGAGGGAAAGAAGUUUUGCUCAAAUCUGUUGUUCAAGCUAUACCUACCUAUGCUAUGUUCGUCUUUAAAAUUUUAAAAAAAUGUAAAGGAAUCAUUGACGCGAUGUCGCAUUUUUGGUGGGGUGACGAGGACAAUCAGAAGAGAAUGCACUAGAUGGCAUGGUGGAAGAUGUGUGUACCAAAAAAUCAAGGAGGCAUGGGCUUUCGAGACAUACAUUGUUUCAACUUGACUUUGUUAGCCAAACAAGCAUGGCGUCUUAUUGAUAAACCGGAGUCUUUAUGUGCCACUAUCUUGAGAACUAAGUAUUUCCCUGAUGGCGACUUGAUGAGUGCAAGUUUAAAGAAAAGUUCGUCCUUUACUUGGCAAAGCAUUUUGGCGGGAGUU
rnacentral:rRNA from 1 species